rnacentral:piRNA from 1 species
GGCAUCCACGUCCAGGGACUGCAC